ACUUGCAGUUGGAAAGUGUGGCCUGCCUAACCCAGAGUUUAACGGGUGAAUAUCCUUCAAACCAUCAAAAUCAUACAUGAAGACGAUUGAGAUUAGAGUGAAAGGAAGAAGAUUAUCGAUGAAUCCAAAUAUGCAUGUCAAGUUGUCAACUUUGCAAUCAAACAGCCAGAUUUAUACGCUUAAAUAAUGUGAUCUGAGAUUUUACACAUCUACAACCAUUCACUGUCAUUUCAUAGAAUGUAAUACACUAGAAAAUGCAAUUCUUAUGUAUAGCUCCACAAGACUUUUGCAAUCAGGAUAUCAAGCAAUAGAGAAUGAUUAAUAAUUUACAAAUCCAUAUAUCAUGACCCCAAGAAAAGUAUCAUAGAAAAAUGGUGAAUUAUUAAAUUUAUAAGGUGGGAUUUGAUGUAAAUGGUGAAUUAUUAAAUUUAAUCCAAGAAAAAUGCAUCUCAAGGCCCAUGAAGAAUGACAAUGAGCUGACAAAGAACCAAAUUCACUAAAAGCAAAGGCAACUUCCUUUGUUGGUGUAGUUUCCUCUCUCUUGAAGAUUGCAAUGAUGUGAGUACACUGAAAACAAUCAUACCAAAUUCAACCAGCCAACUUUGCAGCGAGCAAGUUAGGAUGACUAGAAAGCCCCAGCUUUAACUUCAAAAGCAGGCAUGAUAGGAGAAUCUAGGAUAAAGGAUAAAACUAUGAAUUCAUAUAAUGUCUUAAAUUUCUGCAAGUUUCUUCACUCCUAAGUCUUGUCAUUACUUUCUUCUCUAACCUCCUUACCCAUUCCUUGCUCACAUGGAAAAGCUUCCCAAUCUCCUCAAGUGAUUUGGGCUGAUGAUCCUUAAGCCCAUAUCUAAGAAUUAACACUUGCCUUUCUCUUGAUUCCAAGCCUCUUAAGAGAUCAUGUAUGUCUUUUAUCAUGUGUUGCCUCAUGACAGCUUCUUCAGGGCUCUGUAUCGACAUAUCAGACAUAAAUUCCAAAUAUUUUGCAUUGAGACCAUCUCCAAUUUUCUUAUCAAUUGAACCCACAACUCUAGGGCAUUUGCUAGCUGAUUCAAUUUUAGCCAAAGAAAGACCCGUGAACUUGGCAAUUUCGCUGUCAUCCGCAUGUUUCCCAUAGCUGGUGCUAAGGGCUUUUCGAGCUUUUUGUAUCUGGUUUAUUGCCCUGCUUAAUAUGCACUAACAAGAGAAUGCAUAAGAAUUUAACAGAUGAAACUCCAGAUCUUAUUCAUAUCAUUUUAUCUCUCAAACACAGGAAGGAACAUACAGGAAUUUGAAUCCCUCUAGCAUGUCGUGUCACAGUCUUUGACAUUGAUUUCCUUAUCCAGUACUGUACAUAUGUCGAAAAUCUGUAUCCCCUUGUGUGAUCAAAUCUUUCUGCACCUUGCAAGACACCCAGAUUUCCUGCCUGAAGUAAAUCUUCCAAGGAUAUUCCCAUACCCUUAUAAUUUCUGGCAAAGUACAGAACUAAAGAGCGAGUGCUCCUGAUGAGCUCAUCUCUGCAAUACCAACCAAAACGCACCUGCUGCUGUAGCUCCUUCAUGUCAAGUCCAGCUGCUUCAGCCCAGCAACUCCAACUGACAACUCGUCCAGUUUCCUCUUCCAAAGUUGUUCUGAUCUUCUCCAACUCUGAAACCAUCUGUAAAAGGUAUAGGAUAAAAUUAACAAAGAUAACCUUUAAAAAUCAUCACUGCCACUCUCAAUCUAGAAUUCUUCCCCUUGGCUAUCAAGCAUCAAAUGUCAUUCAAGAAGGUUCUCUGCACUAGCAAUUCAAGUUUCAUCACCGACUCUAGCUUAGCAUUUCUACACCAACUAUGGAGAAAAGCCUAGAGCUUCUCAUCACUGUCUAAAACUACUACAGAUAUGUGUUAGCGUGUGCUGUACACAAGUGCAAGUGAAGAGAGCAGAGUGAGGUGUAAGUAAGGAAAACACUAGUGUGUGAAAGAGUGCAAGUGAGUAGUGUGUGAGUGGGUGGUUCCUUGUGUGUGUAUGUGCACAUGAGUGAGUGAGUGAAAAGUGAGAGUGAAUUGUAAAAUAUCACUUUAGUCCUCUUUAAAUAAAAGUUUUCUUCACUCAAGUCCUCAGUUUUGAGCUUUUUAUGUUUUUUUUUGCUCCCAAUUUUUCAACAGUUUGGUAUUAGAGCCUGCUGGUCUGGGACUGUCGGUUAUUGCCCAAGGUACUACUCGAAGUUCUACUGGUGUACAGUCCGGAUCUGUGAAGCUUGUUGGUGAGGGACCAUGCUUACUUGGUAUUAUAAUUGCGAUAUACCAAGUCACGAUGGUAGAUUCAACUGGCAUUGUGGAGAGCAUUAAGAAGUUGAAUGGUGCCAAUUAUAAGUAUUGGCGCACAUACAUGCAAUCUUAUUUACAAGGCCGUAAUUUGUGGAGCCUUAUUGACGGAGCGGAGAUAACACCACCCACUAAAGACAAGGAGAAAGAAGCAUGGAUUAUCAAAGUGGGGAAGGCCAUGUUUGCACGCAAGACCUCUGUAGAGGAUGACUUGCUCGAGCAUAUCGAAGAUGCAAAAUUUCCUAAGGAUAUACGGAACGCCUAUGCCCCUUUAUUCACGAGGAGAAAUGAUGCUCGUCUACAGAUAUUGGAGAAUGAGCUCAUGUCUACCUCGCAAAAGGAGAUGACGGAAGUGAGUAUUUUACAAAAAUUAAGUCUCUUUGCCAUGAAAUUUCUAAAUUAGAUCCUGAGUGUAAAAUUAGUGAAACAAGAAUGAAAAGAAUUAUUAUUCAUGGCUUUAGACAAGAGUUUAAUCUUACCGUCACUGCAAUACGUGGCUGAGCAACCCAACCGUCGUUAUUAGAAUUGGAAAAUCUUUUAGCCACACAGGAAAUGCUGGACAAGAAAAAUAAGGGGACUUCUUUAAAAGGAGAAGAAUAGGCCAUGUUCAGCAAAAGAGGAAGAGGUAGACAAGGGUGUCACCUAGUGGGUGACCGAAGAAAAAUCAAGAACAAUCAAAAGAUCAACAACAAAGGAGCUUUCAAUAAGGGGGAGCUCAACAAAGUCUUGAAAGAUGAGGUAAACAUCGAAGAAACUAUAGACAAUGUGCUUCAUAUUCGGUAAACCUAGUCACAUUGCUCGAGAUUGUAGAUUGAAGAAACAAUUUGUUGAAUGGAAUUUAGCAACAUUGCAAAAGAAAAUGAUGAGGAAUGAGUGCA
rnacentral:misc_RNA from 1 species